UUUCCCCUUACUUCAGCUGGUCACACGAAAUUGCGAAAUUGCGCCGCGUGCCAUUUUUGUUUACAAAAAAAAGAAAUGCAAUUGGUCCAACUUGUGAAAUUCUUAGUUGAUUAGUUAAUUCGUUCGCGCUUUGUAGCACAAUUAGACAGGAUGCCCGUGGUGGAGGGCAGUGAUUUGGCGCUGUUGCAGCGCCGUCAGCAACAGGUGCGCAACAUUUGCAUCCUGGCGCACGUGGACCAUGGAAAAACGACUUUGGCGGACUCUUUGGUGGCCAGCAACGGCAUCAUCUCUCAGCGGAUGGCGGGCAAACUGCGCUAUCUGGACAGCCGCCAGGACGAGCAGGAGCGCGGCAUCACCAUGAAGAGCAGCAGCAUUUCCCUGCACUACAAAGACCAUGGAAAUCGAAACGAAAAUGAUUUCCUCGUCAAUCUGAUUGAUUCACCCGGACAUGUGGACUUUUCGAGCGAGGUGUCCACUGCGGUGCGGCUCUGUGACGGGGCCAUUGUCGUGGUGGAUGUGGUCGAGGGCGUGGGCGCCCAGACACGAGCCUGUCUCAAGCAGAUCUACGAGGAGCAGCUGAAGCCGGUUCUGGUGCUCAACAAACUGGAUCGCCUGAUUCUGGAGAAGCAGAUGGAGCCUCUGGAUGCGUACUUCCACUUAACGCAGGUCCUCGAGCAGGUCAACGCUGUGCUGGGCAGCAUUUUCGCCUCCGAUGUCCUCGCCAGGGAGGAUAUCACACAGAAGGACAACCAAGAGUCUGCGCUAGAGGAAGUUGACGACUCGGAGUUGUAUUUCUCGCCAAGCUCCGGCAAUGUGGUAUUCUCCUCCGCCUACGAUGGCUGGGCCUUCUCCGUGCGCGAUUUCGCGGCCAUGUACGACAAACGUUUGGAGAUGAAACGCGAGGAACUGGAGCAGGUGCUUUGGGGAGAUUUCUACUACAAUUCGAAGAAGAAAUGCGCCAUGCCGGGGGCCCAGGAGAAGGCCAAGAAGCCGAUGUUUGUGCAGUUUGUGCUGGAGAACAUCUGGAGCAUGUACGACAUCAUAGCCGUGCGGAAGGACAAGGAUAAGCUGCCGGGCAUAGCCGAGAAACUGGGCCUGAAGCUGGCCGCCCGUGAUCUGCGCCUCACCGAUCCCAAGUUGCAGAUCAAGGCCGUGCUGGGACAGUGGCUGCCCAUCGACAGCAGCGUCCUGCACAUGGUGGUGCAGCAUGUGCCACCGCCCCAUCAGAUCAGCGAGGAGCGGGCCCAAAGACUGCUCUAUCCAGCGAAUAUCCAACUAAGUUCGCUCCCACUCGAGACGCUGAAGCUCAAGGACAGCUUCACCAGCUGCGAUGCAGGCAGCGACAAUGUCAUCGCCUUUGUGUCCAAGAUGACGCCCAUCCACGUCUCCCAACUGCCCCAAAAUCGACCCAAGAGAAUGACGGACCAGGAGCUGCAGACGCGCCGGGAUGAGGUGCGUCGGCGGAUCGAGGAACGUAAGCACCAGAGCGAGCAGACGGAGCUGGAGAGGAUUACUGAGGGUGUGGAGCAGCUCAGCACCAAGCAGGAGGAUACCCCAAAAGAAGAACCUACCCCAGGGCCAGAGGCAGAGGCAGAACGGAACGAAUUCGUUUUCGUUGCCUUUGCCCGCGUCUUCAGUGGAACUUUGAGGCGUGGCAUGGAGCUGUUCAAUCUCUCGCCCAAGCACGAUCCCCGCCAGCCGGCACACCGCAUCGAAGGGCAGGCGCCCUAUGCCACUCGCGUGACCAUCGGGGACCUCUACAUGUUCAUGGGCGGGGAACUGCAGCUCCUGGACGAGGUCCCGGCCGGAAACAUUGUGGGAAUCGGGGGCCUGGGAGCGCACAUCGUGAAAACGGCCACCCUGAGCAGCACCCUGGACUGCACAUCCUUCAGCGAGCUGAGCAUCAUGGCCACACCCAUACUCCGAGUGGCCAUUGAGCCCGUGCAGCCGCAGGAUAUGCCCAAGCUGGUCAAGGGCCUGAAGCUGCUGAACCAAGCGGAUGCCUGUGUCCAGGUGUCGGUGGCUCCGACGGGGGAGCAUGUGAUCACGACCCUGGGGGAGGUGCAUGUGGAGAAGUGUGUCCACGAUCUGGAGCAGAGCUACGCCAAGGUCAAGGUGAACGUGUCCAAGCCCAUAGUUUCCUUCAGGGAGACCAUUGUCCCCGCGGCCACCGUGGACAUGGUCAAUGAGGCUAUUGUGAAGACGGCGGACGACAAGGACGUGAGCAAGAAGAUUGCAAUCCAACAGACGCUCAAUAAGCUGGGAACCCUGAAGGUUAUAGCGCUGCCUCUGCCCCCAGAGGCAGUGGAAUUGCUGGAGAGGCACACGGAAUUCUUCAAAGAACUGGCUGCCACACCGAGGAAUCAGCUUCUCUCCGAGAAGUACGCCACUCUUUUGGCUUCCAUCAAACUGAAACUGGUGGCCGCUCUUCAGGAUCUGCACUUGUUCGGCCUGAGUUCACUCUCCCCCGAGGAGUUGGUCAGUCGCCUCUGGGCUCUGGGUCCCCGGAAUUGCGGCACAAAUCUGCUGCUCAACCUCACGGACUACGAGCAGCCCGAUUUCUGGUCCAGCCAAGCCAAGUCCUCCGACACGGAAAUACGCUCUCUGUCCGAUCCACGCAAGGAUUUCAAUAGCUCUCUGGUCAAUGGCUUUCAGCUGACCUCCGGCGCAGGACCGCUGUGCGAGGAGCCCAUGCAGGGCGUCUGCUUUGCUGUCCUCGAAUGGUCCAUCCAAUCAGAGGGCGAGGAUCUAAAUGCUAGAGGACCCUUUUCGGGUCAAGUUCUGACUGCUGCGAAGGAGGUGUGUCGUCAGGCUUUCCAGAAUCAGCCACAGCGCUUGGUAACGCCCAUGUAUAGCUGUACGAUUGUGGUCAAUGCGGAAAUGUUGGGGAAAAUGUACGCUGUGAUUGGCCGGAGACAUGGCAAGAUCCUGUCCGGAGACCUCACCCAGGGCAGCGGCAACUUCUCGGUCACCUGUCUGCUGCCGGUGAUCGAGUCGUUCAACUUUGCCCAAGAGAUGCGCAAGCAGACAUCUGGCCUCGCCUGUCCCCAGCUGAUGUUCAGCCACUGGGAGGUGAUUGAUAUCGAUCCCUUCUGGCUGCCCACAACCGAGGAGGAACUGAUGCACUUCGGCGAGAAAGCCGACUCCGCCAACCGGGCCAAGGUCUACAUGGACAGUGUGCGGCGUCGCAAGGGCCUCUUCGUGGACGAACAGGUGGUGGAGCAUGCCGAGAAGCAACGCACCCUCUCCAAGAACAAGUGAUUCAAGCAGCAAUACCUCUUGCGAGCCCUCGGUCCCCGAUUUGCCCACCAUUGUUUACCUGAGGCAUCAGCUUUUUGGUCUUCCGGCUCAUCUUCGGGACAUGAUUCCUCCGUCGGUGCCCCAUUAGCGGGUGAUUCCGCCAUCCUCGUCUUCUCGGGAGUUCCUAGGGAUGUGCUCCUGGCUGGACUGUGGCAGCCACUGUCUGAUGCCACUGGAAAUAAUGUCAGCAACCCCCUCAUCCAUACGACGCCGAAUCAAACGCUGGGCUUCAGCUUCGAGACGUCUGAGGCGUAUCCGAUUCCCUCCCGUCAGACGGAGUCCGAUCAAAGUAUCCCAGCCAGAAGCUCACCGAAGCGCACCCCUUCAAAGAGCUGAACCAAACAAGCUAUCGUCAUCCUUCGACCUGGCCAUCAACCACAAGGACUUUGACUAUGACAACCAAGGGAGGGGCUACGCGGGCUACUAUAUGAUACGUUUAAGUCAGAUACAAAUGUUUUCCACUUGCACAUUUAUUUAUACUAAUAUUUAUUUAUUUUAUAUUAUACUAUAAUUUAUACAUAAUUAUUUAAAUUAUGAUGAAUAAAACUAUUGAAAAUUCA